rnacentral:rRNA from 1 species
GCCUAACACAUGCAAGUCGAGCGGCAGCACGGGAAGCUUGCUUCCUGGUGGCGAGCGGCGGACGGGUGAGUAAUGCAUAGGAAUCUGCCCGGUAGUGGGGGAUAACCUGGGGAAACCCAGGCUAAUACCGCAUACGCCCUACGGGGGAAAGCAGGGGCUCUUCGGACCUUGCGCUAUCGGAUGAGCCUAUGUCGGAUUAGCUGGUUGGUGAGGUAAUGGCUCACCAAGGCGACGAUCCGUAGCUGGUCUGAGAGGAUGAUCAGCCACAUCGGGACUGAGACACGGCCCGAACUCCUACGGGAGGCAGCAGUGGGGAAUAUUGGACAAUGGGCGCAAGCCUGAUCCAGCCAUGCCGCGUGUGUGAAGAAGGCCUUAGGGUUGUAAAGCACUUUCAGUGGGGAAGAAAGCCUUACGGUUAAUACCCGUGAGGAAGGACAUCACCCACAGAAGAAGCACCGGCUAACUCCGUGCCAGCGGCCGCGGUAAUACGGAGGGUGCGAGCGUUAAUCGGAAUUACUGGGCGUAAAGCGCGCGUAGGUGGCUUGAUAAGCCGGUUGUGAAAGCCCCGGGCUCAACCUGGGAACGGCAUCCGGAACUGUCAGGCUAGAGUGCAGGAGAGGAAGGUAGAAUUCCCGGUGUAGCGGUGAAAUGCGUAGAGAUCGGGAGGAAUACCAGUGGCGAAGGCGGCCUUCUGGACUGACACUGGCACUGCGGUGCGAAAGCGUGGGUAGCAAACAGGAUUAGAUACCCUGGUAGUCCACGCCGUAAACGAUGUCGACUAGCCGUUGGGUCCUUCGCGGACUUUGUGGCGCAGUUAACGCGAUAAGUCGACCGCCUGGGGAGUACGGCCGCAAGGUUAAAACUCAAAUGAAUUGACGGGGGCCCGCACAAGCGGUGGAGCAUGUGGUUUAAUUCGAUGCAACGCGAAGAACCUUACCUACCCUUGACAUCCUGCGAACCCUUCGGAGACGAAGGGGUGCCUUCGGGAACGCAGAGACAGGUGCUGCAUGGCUGUCGUCAGCUCGUGUUGUGAAAUGUUGGGUUAAGUCCCGUAACGAGCGCAACCCUUGUCCUUAUUUGCCAGCGAGUAAUGUCGGGAACUCUAAGGAGACUGCCGGUGACAAACCGGAGGAAGGUGGGGACGACGUCAAGUCAUCAUGGCCCUUACGGGUAGGGCUACACACGUGCUACAAUGGUCGGUACAAAGGGUUGCGAACUUGCGAAAGUGAGCUAAUCCCAGAAAGCUGAUCUCAGUCCGGAUCGGAGUCUGCAACUCGACUCCGUGAAGUCGGAAUCGCUAGUAAUCGUGAAUCAGAAUGUCACGGUGAAUACGUUCCCGGGCCUUGUACACACCGCCCGUCACACCAUGGGAGUGGACUGCACCAGAAGUGGUUAGCCUAACCUUCGGGAGGGCGAUCACCACGGUGUGGUUCAUGACUGGGGUGAAGUCGUAACAAGGUAGCCGUAGGGGAACCUGCGGCUGGAUCACCUCCUUA